CACAGAUUCCUUAAUUCCUUCUUGGUGAUUCAGAGUAGAGUUUCCACUCUACAGAUUCUUGCUAUGUGGGAUUUUGGCUUUCCUGACCCAACAGUGCCUGUAAAGCCAUGGUACAGGAGAUCACUCUGAGGCGGGGGCAGCCACACUGAACUACUUGGGCAAGUUUCUUCACCUAUACGUGCCUCAGAUUCCCUAUCUGUAAAACGCAGCUCUGCCACUCCCUCUUUCCUGACACUCUUACCUACCUGCUACUCCUUAAACCCGGUUAGUGUUUAUUUAGUAAAUAUUUCCUCUAGGAAGACUUUCCUGGUUCCCACCCCUCCUCUAAAUAGGUUUGCUGCCCCUUCUGUGAGAUUCUCAGCACUGAGUGCUACAUAUGAGCAUUC
rnacentral:lncRNA from 1 species